rnacentral:rRNA from 1 species
CCUACGGGAGGCAGCAGUGAGGAAUAUUGGUCAAUGGGCGCGAGCCUGAACCAGCCAAGUCGCGUGAAGGAUGACUGCCCUACGGGUUGUAAACUUCUUUUAUAAAGGAGUAAAGUGAGGCACGUGUGCCUUUUUGUAUGUACUUUAUAAAUAAGGAUCGGCUAACUCCGUGCCAGGGGCCGCGGUAAUACGGAGGAUCCGAGCGUUAUCCGGAUUUAUUGGGGUUAAAGGGAGCGUAGAUGGGUUGUUAAGUAAGUUGUGAAAGUUUGCGGCUCAACCGUAAAAUUGCAAUUGAUACUGGCAGCCUUGAGUACAGUUGAGGUAGGCGGAAUUCGUGGUGUAGCGGUGAAAUGCUUAGAUAUCACGAAGAACUCCGAUUGCGAAGGCAGCUUACUAAUCUGCCACUGACAUUGAUGCUCGAAAGUGUGGGUAUCAAACAGGAUUAGAUACCCCUGUAGUC